UGUUUUGUUUCUAUCAUUAUUACAGGAUGAGCUGAACUGCGUGUGAGACCAGUGUGUCGGAGCUAGCCAAAUCCUUACAAUCAUUUAGCCCAGGUUACUAAUAUCGUACUGUGGAAUCUGAAGCCUCAGGUCAUGUACCAAGUUGGGGUGAGAAGCAGCGAGAGGCUCUGCACAGCUGGUAAGUACAGAACAUGCUGGACCCAGCUGCUCUUCUGGACCUCUGGAGGCACCAGCAUAAUGGAGUUGGUUACAUGGGUUCGUUCUGCAUCGCUGAGGCUGGUACAAUUCUGCAUGUGGACUUUGCAAAUGAAUAACCAGGCUCUUGACCAGUUCUAGCUACAAGCCCACAUGUGGGAUGGAGGUGGAUGGAGUAAUCUCUACACCCAAUGCGGAGCUUGAACUCACCAUUGAGAUCUAGAGUCGCACCCUCCACUGACUGAGCCAACCUGAUGCCCCAAGAAUAUGAGUAUUUCUAAGGCUCUUGUAAGGACUGGAUUAUGAGUUAUUGGGAAGAAAACUACAGACAUUUUCACCACAUCCGAGGGACUAUUCAGCUACUCCAACUUAUAAAGUACUACUCUAGAAUGAAUUUCAAAAUACUCACAAGUAAGAUGGAGAUCAAGAACAUCCUAAGAGCACCCUUAGCUUAGCCAGAACAUAGGAGAUCCAGGAAGUUCUUCUGGCCAUGGAGUCAUGCUCAACAAACCACCUAGCCUCACUAGACAAGUUUUUCCUCUGUAGAUUGGAACAAUGACACCAUUUAAAAAGUGAAACAUGAUACCUUGAGUCAAUAGAGUCAAGAAUAAAAAUAAUUCCCUAUGAAUUCAAUUAAUGUUAUUAACUGUGAACACACUUUGAGAUGCAAGUCAAAAUACUGAACGGAAAUGAAGUGCUUUGAGCCGGUUUAUUUCAUAGAGAAAGGAAUUAUGAUACCCCGACUCAGGAGAUGGAAAGCUUCUGACAGCACAGAUGUGUGAUCUCACUCAGUAAGUUCAUUAGCUUCAGAACAAGUAUGGUUUUGGCUCUGUCAUUCUCUCUUUUUUUUUUUUUUUUUGUUUGUUUGUUUUUUUGUUUUGUUUUGUUUUUCUGUCAUUCUCUCUUGUUGAAAUAGUUAAGAACAGGCAAGUGAGACAAGAUGGUUUUUGUAGAAAGAGAGUUUCAUUCCUUUAAAGGAAGGCUUAACACAUGGGUGGCUCAACACAUACCUGAGGAAGUUACCCAAGGCUAGCAAAGCACAUCUGAACGUCUUAGAAGGAGCAAAGUCAAAAGCUCAUAGUCCGGGAAUAUUUUGUGUCCUCCCCAGUAAGAAUGAAAAACCUCAGAAUUCAUAAGCCAUUAGGUACAGUACUCAGAGGAAGCUGGUCACAGCAGUGGGACAAAACAAGACCUAGAAUUCAUGCUGCUCCAGUCCAACAAAGCAUUGAAACAAGAUUUCUUUUUUUUUUUUUUUAAGAUUUUAUUUAUUUAUUCAUGAGAGACACAUUGAGAGAGGCAGAGACAGACAAAGAGAGAAUCAGGCUCCUUGCAGGGAACCUGAGGCAGGACUUGAUUCCAGGAUCCUGGGAUCACAAACUGAGCCAAAGGCAGAUGCUCAAUCACUGAGCCAGCCACCCAGGCAUCCCUGAAACAAGAUUUCAAAGGAUUAAACUGUCUCUUAGUAACUUCACUUCCCUCUGAUAAUAAAGCCCCCAUAUACUAUAGCUAUUCACCUAGUGGCCAACAGUGGAAUCAGGUUAUAGAUCUAGAAAUAGAUCAAAUUAGGCAUAAACAAACAUUAACAGAAGAUGUAGGAAGAGUCAUGCUAUGUAUUCCAAAAGGCACCUGGUCGAAACCAAUCAUAUCAAUGGACAAUCUUGUGUUAGUAAAUCAUGACCAUGAAGAAGAUGUCUGACCAUGAAGAACUGUCUCCCUUAUGUUGGAAAAGCCCUACCUAAAUGUCAGGGAGCCAUUCCUCAGUCAAUACUGAGAGUGAGCUGAGACACGAGAGUGGGCUGUGGAAGAGAAGGCGUGUGGAGGAAUCGAAAAGGCUGGUACUAGCAGAUGACAGGGCAACUCUGGGAUGGGGAGAUGAAAGGGACCAUCAGCUUCAGAGCGAUUUCCAGAGGAAGAGCCUAGAGUAGGCAAGGGAGACGGUGACUAGCCCUCCCUAAUCCAGAAUCUUUUGUUUGGCCAUUUCUUGAGACUUCUCUUGAAAGGUGGGAAGAGUUAUGUAAGUAUGCUCAGAAUUCCCUGAUGAUUAUUGCAGAAAUGAAGGAGGAGUCAUAGAGAAUUCCUGUCAACAGGAAAGUUAAUUUGGCUUUCCAGGAACUCCAGACCCUGGCUACAACUUUAGUCUGACCCUGUAGGGUCUUGGUGACCUUGGCUGUUAAAACUGAGUGAAAAUGGUAGACAAUCUGGUUAGACUUUGGCUGAACUGAACAAUUGUAAGAAAAAUGAAAAUUCAGAUUUGAGGGUUUAAUCCAGGGUUUAUUGAGGGUUCUCCAGAGAAAUAGGACCAAUAGGUUAUAUAUAUUAUAUAAAUAUAACAUUGUGUGUAUGUGUAUAUAAAGUAAGGAAUUAGCUCAUGCAGUUAUGGAGGAUGAGAAGUCUCAAGAUAUACAAUCAGUUCUUUGGAGACUCAGGAAAGUCAAUGUGUAGUUCCAGCUCGAAUCUGAAGGCCUGAGGACCAGAGACGCUGAUGGUGUGUCUCCAGUCCCAAAGUCUCAGGACCCAAGAAGAGCCAAUGUUUCACUUCCAGUGUCAAGACUGGAAAAGUCUGAUUUCCCAGCCCAGCAGUGAGAUGGGAAGAGCUCGCUCUUACUGAGCUUCUUUGUUCUAUUCAGGUCUCCAGUCGAUUGGCUGAUAAGCAACCAUACUGGAAAGGGAACUCUGUUCUCCUCAGUCUUCCAAUUAGAGUAUUAAGCUCAUUUGAAAACACCCUCACAGACACGCCCAGAAAAAUGCCUGGCCAAAUGGCUGUUACCCUGCAGCCUAGUCUUGUUGGCACAUCAGAUUAACCAUUACAUUCAGCAACUGAUAUGCAGUAAGCUCCGGGAAAGAGUGUGCAAAGAACAUGUGACUAGAGUCAAAAGUCUGUUGUGGGGAAUUUUGUUCCCGGCAGUGUGACUUAGUAGAAACUAAACUUAACUCAUUCAGUCUUCAAACAGAUAAAACCAAUUCUCAGAGAAAGGGCAAUUGAAGAGAGCGGGCAUAGGUUGAAGAGGAAAGGAAAAGGAAGCCAGAAGCAAGGAAGAAAAUGGCGGAAAUAGUGAAAAGAAAGCAGAAGUUGUAGAACAGUAGAAAGAAAGGACCAAAGAGUGAAAGCUACAGGUUUCUUUUAAAAUGAGCACUUUGGGGGAUCAAGCCAGAAAAUAUUGUCAAUGCUGGGUUUUCCAGAGUUGUUGUUGGCAUCAUGGCACAUUCCUAGUUAUUUGCGGUGUCCUUCUGCGCUCUCUGAUAUGUUAGGAGGGAAAACAAUUCUAAGGGUUUUUGAUGAUCUUUGGUUGGUAUUUUGUGAGCUCCCUGAGGUCUGUACCAGCAUUAAAAGUGUCAGCUGAGAAACUGGAUGGCAUAAUGAAAACCCGGUGUAUGGUAUGUAGCAGUGGCCGGAUGGAUACCAGGAGAGCUUCACGGGCAGCACUCAAACUCCCAGUCUCCACGUUAGAAUUUUAGGGGUCGUUUUCCAUUCUAUCCCAUGAAACCUGUGGAUGAAAAAUUUUCUUGGUCGCUUCCCAGAUCAUCCACUUGGUAAUUCUGCUUCUGUCCAUAUUGUGUUUGUUAUACAACAGCUGUCUAGAUUACCAACUCAUUGGUAUCUCUGAGCAGAGUCAUUUCCAUGGUGAUACUAAAACUUACCUUUAGAGAUGUUACUAACCCUCACCUUUUUAGAGUGCCCCUUAAGGGCAAUUAAACAGAAGUUUGUUCCCUGGCCAACUCAACACACUUGAGUCAAUGUGUAAUGGCAAUUCUCCCUCCUGCACCCUUUAUAUAUGAUUUUUAUCAGUAAUGUUGGAUUAGUUGAGAUGAGCACUUAGCAACAUGAAGUCUCAUGGAAAAUUAUUUCCUUAAUUCUAAGUAAUAUUGCUGCUUGCCACGUUCAUGAAGGAGUCCAGCCAGAUAGGAAGGGUCUCCAAAAACAGGCAUCACCUCCUUUGGGAAGCAUGUCCUACCUGACUUACUGUCAUCAUCACCACAUGGCUGCUUAGCAAUCGCUUUCUUAGGCUCUCACUGCUCUCUGGGCAAAUCCAAGGAACAUUGCUUUUCUUUUUUUUAAUAUUUUAUUUAUUUAUUUAUUCAUGAGAGACAGAGAGAGAGAGAGAGAGAGAGAGGGAGGCAGAAACACAGGCAGAGGUUGAAGCAAGCUCCAUGAAGGGAGCCUGAUGUGGGACUCGAUCCUGGGACUCGAGGAUCACACCCUGGGCCAAAGGCAGACGCUAAACCGUUGAGCCACCCAGGGAUCCCAGAACACUGCUUUUCACGAUGUAUUAUAAACAUUGUUUUUUACUUGCCUUCUUCCUCACUGUACUGAAAACUCCUCUUAGUCAAAAACCAUGCUUAAUUAUCAUUGAUAUCUUCAAUUUCUAACAAGAUUGUUAGCCCACAGUAGAGUAAAUAAAUGAAUCAGUGAAUGAAUAUGUUGCCAAUAAAAAUGGAGAAAAGGGGUUGAAUUCAAGAGAAAAUUAGAAAUUUGACUUUGUGACUGAGUCUGAUGAGAGUAGGAGGGAAGUAGAUGGCUCUCUAGCUUUAGUAACGGGGUGGUUGUUAGAAUCAUUUUUAAUAAAGUUAUAAAAAUUUGUUUUGUUUUGGUAGGAGAACAUACAAGUAUAGUGGUAUUUAUUUUUAACUUUUUUUUUUAAGUAGCCCCACUCAGUGUGGGGCUUGAACUCACAAUCCUGAGAUGAAGAGUCACAUGUUCUACUGAUUGAGUCAGCCAGGCGUCCCAGAAGUAUGACAGUGUUUUGUACUGGUCUCAGCCUAUUAGUAACCUAUGUGGCUGGACCAGUCCUUGUGGUUCUUAUGAUUGUUCUUAUGAUGACACCCUUCAGCAACAGCCAUCAGGAAACUUUGAAAAAAAUAAAAGUUUAGCUUACAAGACCUGUAACUGACAACGCAUAGUUAGGACCAUGCAGCAAAGUUUUGGGUAGAGAGAGAGAGCAUGUAUGGGCCUGGUAUUCUGCUUUGCAUGGGCUUAGGGUUCCCCAGGCUCACUCUUUUUUGGUGAAUUUAAAACAGAAGAGUAGGCCAUGUCUAUGUCUUCCUCUGUGAGAUUUCUGUUCAUGUCUUUUGCCCAUUUCAUGAUCGGAUUGUUUGUUUCUUUGAGUUUAAUAA